rnacentral:rRNA from 1 species
GAUGAACGCUGGCUACAGGCUUAACACAUGCAAGUCGAGGGGAAACGGCGUUGAGUGCUCGCACUCUUCGGACGUCGACCGGCGCACGGGUGAGUAACGCGUAUCCAACCUUCCCGUCACUGCGGGAUAACCUGCCGAAAGGCAGACUAAUACCGCAUGGCCUUCACUGACGGCAUCAGAGGUGAAGUAAAGCUUUUUAGCGGUGACGGACGGGGAUGCGUCUGAUUAGCUGGUUGGCGGGGCGACGGCCCACCAAGGCUACGAUCAGUAGGGGUUCUGAGAGGAAGGUCCCCCACAUUGGAACUGAGACACGGUCCAAACUCCUACGGGAGGCAGCAGUGAGGAAUAUUGGUCAAUGGGCGGAAGCCUGAACCAGCCAAGUAGCGUGCAGGAUGACGGCCCUACGGGUUGUAAACUGCUUUUAUGCGGGGAUAAAGUGAGGGACGUGUCCCUUUUGCAGGUACCGCAUGA